rnacentral:rRNA from 1 species
GUGCGUAACGCGUAUGCAACCUACCUUUCACAGGGGGAUAGCCCGAAGAAAUUUGGAUUAAUACCCCAUAAUAUUAUUGAAUGGCAUCAUUUGAUAAUUAAAACUGAGGUGGUGAAAGAUGGGCAUGCGUCCUAUUAGCUAGUUGGAGUGGUAACGGCACCCCAAGGCUACGAUAGGUAGGGGUCCUGAGAGGGAGAUCCCCCACACUGGUACUGAGACAGGGACCAGACUCCUACGGGAGGCAGCAGUGAGGAAUAUUGGUCAAUGGUCGGAAGACUGAACCAGCCAUGCCGCGUGCAGGAAGAAUGCCUUAUGGGUUGUAAACUGCU